GUCUGUAGCUGUUCCACCCUGAAAAUGGAAGAUAAGCAGGAUCAGGCCUGGUUUGAAGCUGGAUGGGAGACUGCUGGGAAUAUUGGAUGUUAUAGGCA
rnacentral:rRNA from 1 species